GACGAACGCUGGCGGCGUGCUUAACACAUGCAAGUCGAACGAAGUGGCGAACGGGUGAGUAACGCGUAAUCAACCUGCCCUUCAGAGGGGGACAACAGUUGGAAACGACUGCUAAUCCCGCAUACUGAAGGAGGUGAUUGCGUCUGAUUAGCUAGUUGGAGGGGUAACGGCCCACAAAGGCGAUGAUCAGUAGCCGGUCUGAGAGGGUGACCGGCCACAUUGGGACUGAGAUACGGCCCAGACUCCUACGGUAGGCAGCAGUGGGGAAUCUUCCGCAAUGGACGAAAGCCUGAUCCAGCCAUGCCGCGUGUGUGAAGAAGGUCUUCGGAUUGUAAAGCACUUUAAGUUGGGAGGCGUUACCAACAGAAUAAGCACCGGCUAACUUCGUGCCAGCAGCCGCGGUAAUUC
rnacentral:rRNA from 1 species